ensembl:lncRNA
CACACAUAUUAUAUAAAUAUAUAUAUAUAUAUAAUAACAUACACACAAAUACACACAUACACACAUAAAGAUAGAUGUGAGUUCUCGUCUACCUUUUGGCUGGUUUAAGACUAAAAAUUGCAGCAUCCUCAUGAAGUGAUUUAUGAUGACAAAUUUCCAAAGUAGGUGUGGUAUAGUGGUUAGAGUUCAUGCCAAUGAUGGUGUUCCAGAAGGUGUGGGUUCUCUUCUAUCUUUUAGAUGGUUUAAGAUUAAAAAUCGAUGCAUCCUCAUGAAGUUAUUUAUGAUAAAGAAAUCCACAGCAAGUGUGGUGUAGUGGUUAGAGUUCAUGUCAGUGACUCUAUUCAAGAAAGUGUGGGUUCUCUUCCAUCUUUUGGAAUGUUUAAGAAGAAAAAAAUUAUGUUGCCUCAUGAAGUGAUUUAUGAUGACAAAAGUCCACCACACAGUUGUAAUGUCCAUCCCUUGGUGGUGUAGUGGUUAGAGUUCAUGUUUGUGGUGUGGGUUUUCAGGUUCUAACCCUCCUUUUGGCAGGUUCAAGAAGCGAAAGUGAUGCUGUGGAAGUAUGAAGGUGUGAUGGAGGGAGCAGUGUGUAGGCCUCUGUGGCUCAGUUGGUUAAGUCAUGACUGUUGUGGAGCAGAAGGUGCUUAGAUCAAAACCCAACUGGAGUGGUUGGUUGGAGAUUGAGGCAUUGGUGUGUGUGUCAGUUGUAGGUUGGGAGAUAGGUUGAGGAAGGGGCUAGAGGAUUAGGUGUGAGCUGAGAGGGGGGUGGGAGGACUAGGUUGGGUGUAAAAGAGAGGGUGAUGGGGUAGGUGAGUGGUUGUGAGCUCAGAAUGUGGUGGAGGAAUGUCAGGUGAAGGAGGGUGCACACCCUUCAGUAUAGACCAAGAAUGUGUGGGUGAGGGGUGUGCACUCAAGGGAGGAAGAGGUGGGCUGCAAGAGAGGAAGAGGUGGGCUGCAAGAGAGGAAGAGGUGGGCUGCAAGAGAGGAAGAGGUGGGCUGCAAGAGAGGAAGAGGUGGGCUGCAAGAGAGGAAGAGGUGGGCUGCAAGAGAGGAAGAGGUGGGCUAUCCCUCCUUUUUAUAAAAAUGCUGGCACCCUCCUAAAUGAAUAAGGACAGUACUGCUUUUCCAGCCCUCACUUUGUGUACCCACCUCUUCCUGAUACUUCACCCCUGUUCUUAUCCCCCACUUCCCUUCCA